GACGGACCUUGCGAACGUUGUUCGGAAUCACUGGGCUUAAAGGGUGCGUAGGCGGGUUGUCCAGUCUGGGGUGAAAUCCCACGGCUCAACCGUGGAACUGCCUCAGAUACUGACGACCUCGAGGGAGGUAGGGGCGAGCGGAACUGUGGGUGGAGCGGUGAAAUGCGUUGAUAUCCACAGGAACUCCGGUGGCGAAGGCGGCUCGCUGGACCUCUUCUGACGCUGAGGCACGAAAGCUAGGGGAGCAAACGGG
rnacentral:rRNA from 1 species